ACUCAGCGAUCUUAAUGCAUGCCCGAUCACAGGCCAUGGCACCAAUCCCAGUAACAGCGGUUCCGGUGAUGU
rnacentral:sRNA from 1 species